UGGGGGAUAUUGCACAAUGGGGGGAACCCUGAUGCAGCGACGCCGCGUGGGCGAGGGAGCGCCUCGGCGCGUAAAGCCCUAUCGGCAGGGAAGAAGCAAGACGGUACCUGACUAAGAAGCCCCGGCUAAAUACGUGCCAGCAGCCGCGGUAAUACGUAUGGGGCAAGCGUUAUCCGGAUUCACUGGGUGUAAAGGGAGCGCAGGCGGCCUGGCAAGCCUGAUGUGAAAGACCGGGGCCCAACCCCGGGGCUGCAUUGGGAACUGGCAGGCUGGAGUGCCGGAGGGGCAGGCGGAAUUCCUAGUGUAGCGGUGAAAUGCGUAGAUAUUAGGAGGAACACCAGUGGCGAAGGCGGCCUGCUGGACGGUGACUGACGCUGAGGCUCGAAAGCGUGGGGAGCAAACAGG
rnacentral:rRNA from 1 species